CAUUAUGCACACAGAUAUAUUUAGUGACUCUUUGUAACUCCCCCCAUCACGUCUACCCGUCAUAUCUCCCAGCAAGAAAGCACUUUAAAUCCUGUUACCAUUAUUAGCUCUUCAAGUAUUACUGUAUCAUCAAAUAAGCCUCUGACAUUGGCAUGUUCUCCUCGGUACAUCAAGUACACACGCUUGUGCAAAUGUAACAAGUACUGCCAGUUGUACACAAGAAACAAACUGUAAAGUUAAGCAAAUGUCAAUGUUGUAACUUUGAUCCCCAAAUGUAUUUUUUAGUUAAAUAUAAUAAAAAAACAAAAAACCUAUAAGUUAAAAUAACAUUCAGAUUGUAUAGCACAGCUGAUGCGAUUUUCAUUUCUGUUUUAUUUUAAACAAUAUUUACAAUAUUACCCAGCGGCUAAAGUGGGAAUUAAGGAAGUAUAAAACAAACAAAAAAACUUAAAAAACGCACCAACUUUGUAGCAAAAUAUCUGUACAUUUAGAAACAGAGUAUCAUAAAACUACAUUUUAAUAGAGGAGACCAAAAACCGGAAAUGUU